GAUGAAGAACGUAGCGAAAUGCGAUAAGUAAUGUGAAUUGCAGAAUUCAGUGAAUCAUCGAAUCUUUGAACGCACAUUGCGCCCGCCAGCACUCUGGCGGACAUGCCUGUUCGAGCGUCAUUUCAACCAUCAAGCCCCCAGGGGCUUGUGCUGGGGCCCUGCGGCUGCCCGCAGGCCCUGAAAACCAGUGGCGGGCUCGCUAGUCACACCGAGCGCAGUAGCACAUCUCGCUCAGGGCGUGCGGCGGGCUCCUGCCGUGAAACCCCCCACUGUAACCCCAAAGGUUGACCUCGGAUCAGGUAGGAAUACCCGCUGAACUUAAGCAUAUCAAUAAGCGGAGGA
rnacentral:misc_RNA from 1 species